GACGAACGCUGGCGGCGUGCUUAACACAUGCAAGUCGAACGGUAAGGCCCUUCUGGGUACACGAGUGGCGAACGGGUGAGUAACACGUGGGUAAUCUGCCCUGCACUUCGGGAUAAGCCUGGGAAACUGGGUCUGAUACCGGAUAUUCAUCUUUCACCGCGUGGUGGUGGUUGGAAAGUUUUUCUGUGCAGGAUGAGCCCGCGGCCUAUCAGCUUGUUGGUGGGGUAAUGGCCUACCAAGGCGACGACUGGUAGCCGGCCUGAGAGGGUGAUCGGCCACACUGGGACUGAGACACGGCCCAGAUUCCUACGGGAAGCAGCAGUGGGGAAUAUUGCACAAUGGGCGAAAGCCUGAUGCAUCGACGCCGCGUGGGGGAUGACGGUCUUCGGAUUGUAAACCCCUUUCAGUAUGGACGAAUCGCAAGUGACGGUACCUGCAGAAGAAGCGCCGGCCAACUACUUGCCAGCAGCCGCGGUAAUACGUAAGGCGCGAGCGUUGUCCGGAAUUACUGGGCGUAAAGAGCUCGUAGGUGGUUUGUCGCGUCUUCCGUGAAAACUCGGAGCUUAACUCCGAGCUUGCGGGCGAUACGGGCAGACUUGAGUACUUACAGGGGAGACUGGAAUUCCUGGUGUAGCGGUGAAAUGCGCAAAUAUCAGGAGGAACACCGGUGGCGAAGGCGGGUCUCUGGGUAGUAACUGACGCUGAGGAGCGAAAGCAUGGGUAGCGAACAGGAUUAGAUACCCUGGUAGUCCAUGCAGUAAACGGUGGGCGCUAGGUGUGGGGUCCUUCCACGGAUUCCGUGCCGUAGCUAACGCGUUAAGCGCCCCGCCUGGGGAGUACGGCCGCAAGGCUAAAACUCAAAGGAAUUGACGGGGGCCCGCACAAGCGGCGGAGCAUGUGGAUUAAUUCGAUGCAACGCGAAGAACCUUACCUAGGCUUGACAUAUACAGGACGGCGGCAGAGAUGUCGUUUCCCUUGUGGCUUGUAUACAGGUGGUGCAUGGUUGUCGUCAGCUCGUGUCGUGAGAUGUUGGGUUAAGUCCCGCAACGAGCGCAACCCCUGUCUCAUGUUGCCAGCACGUUAUGGUGGGGACUCGUGAGAGACUGCCGGGGUCAACUCGGAGGAAGGUGGGGAUGACGUCAAAUCAUCAUGCCCCUUAUGUCUAGGGCUUCACACAUGCUACAAUGGCUAGUACAGAGGGCUGCGAUCCCGUGAGGUGGAGCGAAUCCCUUAAAGCUGGUCUCAGUUCGGAUUGGGGUCUGCAACUCGACCCCAUGAAGUCGGAGUCGCUAGUAAUCGCAGAUCAGCAACGCUGCGGUGAAUACGUUCCCGGGCCU
rnacentral:rRNA from 1 species